rnacentral:misc_RNA from 1 species
GAACUGCGAUAAGUAAUGUGAAUUGCAGAAUUCAGUGAAUCAUCGAGUCUUUGAACGCACAUUGCGCCCCCUGGCAUUCCGGGGGGCAUGCCUGUCCGAGCGUCAUUGCUGCCCUUCAAGCCCGGCUUGUGUGUUGGGUCGUCGUCCCCUCCGGGGGACGGGCCCGAAAGGCAGCGGCGGCACCGCGUCCGGUCCUCGAGCGUAUGGGGCUUUGUCACCCGCUCGAUAAGGACCGGCCGGGCGCCAGCCGGCGUCUCCAACCUUUUUUUCUCAGGUUGACCUCGGAUCAGGUAGAGAUACGCGCUGAACUUAAGC